GCUGCAGACCGCCUUAUCGUCGUUCCGAUUCUUCGGAAGGGAGGAAAGUCCGGACACCACAGAGUAGCAUAGCGGGUAACACCCGUCAGUUCCGAUUCGUCGGGAUUAGGACAAGUGCAACAGAAAGUAUGUACAGGUAAUGCUGUAGUGAAACCAGGUAAACUCUAUGCGGUGAAAUGCCAUGUAUAUCAACAUUUAAGGGCUGCUCGUCCGUUGUUGAGGGGUAGGCAGAUGGAUCCCGACAGUAAUGUCGGGGCUAGAUAAAUGAUAAGGGUUCCGAUGUAUCGGAAUACAGAAUCCGGCUUACAGGUCUGCUUUUUUU
rnacentral:RNase_P_RNA from 1 species